GCUUCUUUUUCACCGGAGCUUGCUCCACCGGAAAAAGAGGAGUGGCGAACGGGUGAGUAACACGUGGGUAACCUGCCCAUCAGAAGGGGAUAACACUUGGAAACAGGUGCUAAUACCGUAUAACAAUCGAAACCGCAUGGUUUUGAUUUGAAAGGCGCUUUCGAGUGUCGCUGAUGGAUGGACCCGCGGUGCAUUAGCUAGUUGGUGAGGUAACGGCUCACCAAGGCCACGAUGCAUAGCCGACCUGAGAGGGUGAUCGGCCACAUUGGGACUGAGACACGGCCCAAACUCCUACGGGAGGCAGCAGUAGGGAAUCUUCGGCAAUGGACGAAAGUCUGACCGAGCAACGCCGCGUGAGUGAAGAAGGUUUUCGGAUCGUAAAACUCUGUUGUUAGAGAAGAACAAGGAUGAGAGUAACUGUUCAUCCCUUGACGGUAUCUAACCAGAAAGCCACGGCUAACUACGUGCCAGCAGCCGCGGUAAUACGUAGGUGGCAAGCGUUGUCCGGAUUUAUUGGGCGUAAAGCGAGCGCAGGCGGUUUCUUAAGUCUGAUGUGAAAGCCCCCGGCUCAACCGGGGAGGGUCAUUGGAAACUGGGAGACUUGAGUGCAGAAGAGGAGAGUGGAAUUCCAUGUGUAGCGGUGAAAUGCGUAGAUAUAUGGGGGAACACCAGUGGCGAAGGCGGCUCUCUGGUCUGUAACUGACGCUGAGGCUCGAAAGCGUGGG
rnacentral:rRNA from 1 species